CACUCCUGCGGGAGGCAGCAGUGGGGAAUUUUGGACAAUGGGCGAAAGCCUGAUCCAGCAAUGCCGCGUGAGUGAAGAAGGCCUUCGGGUUGUAAAGCUCUUUUGUCAGGGAAGAAACGGUGAAAGCUAAUAUCUUUUGCUAAUGACGGUACCUGAAGAAUAAGCACCGGCUAACUACGUGCCAGCAGCCGCGGUAAUACGUAGGGUGCAAGCGUUAAUCGGAAUUACUGGGCGUAAAGCGUGCGCAGGCGGUUUUGUAAGUCUGAUGUAAAAUCCCCGGGCUCAACCUGGGAAUUGCAUUGGAGACUGCAAGGCUAGAAUCUGGCAGAGGGGGGUAGAAUUCCACGUGUAGCAGUGAAAUGCGUAGAUAUGUGGGGGAACACCGAUGGCGAAGGCAGCCCCCUGGGUCAAGAUUGACGCUCAUGCACGAAAGCGUGGGGAGCAAACAGGAUUAGAUACCCCGGUAGUCCCAUGA
rnacentral:rRNA from 1 species